AAUGGGCUGCCUUUGCUCAUUAGAAGCAGGGAGCUCUCUUCUUCUUCCCCUGGAUCCUUCCUUUAAAAUAGUUUCUUUUGUCUUAAGUUUUCAUUUCUACGUUUGUCCCUUCAUUCAGUCUCUUAAAUGACGGUCUCAAGCAGUAACAGUAGUAAUUGCUGUAAUGACGGUCUCAAGUAGUAACCAGGGCACUCUGCCACAAGUGGCACCUGAACAGGGACUAACAGGGACUAUCAAGAACAAACGGAGACCUGAAGAGACCUGAAGGGAACUGAAGAGGUCUGCAGGGACAAAUAGAGAUAAGUAGGGAUAAAUAGAGAUAAAUAGAGACAAAUAGAGAUAGGUAAGGAAUGACAGGGACUUGCAGGAAGUAACAGGGACCAUAGGGACAGAUAGGGAUAGAUAAAGACUAGCAAAGACUAGCCGAGAUUAGCAAAGACCAGCAAGGACUAGCAGAGACUAGCAAAGACUAGCAGAAACUUGCAGGGACAGGCAGAGACAGAUAGGGACAGAUAGGGUCCUACAGGGACUUGAACGAGGAAGAUCUGCUGGAAAAGAAAAGAACUACAACCAACCAGAUGAACAAGAAACCCUGUUACAAGUCUGCUGGCAGCAACAUAAGUGACACAAAGUGAACCGGGUUCUAUAAAUUACCAUGGAAAGUGGUGAGCCAACGAUUUGGCAGAACAAAACCCUGAGGAUAUGCAAACAAAAGGGACUAUGGAAUUUGCAAUUGCAGAUUAAAAUUGAAGAAGAAAACAUUUGAGUUGCAAAUACCGUAUUAAAAGUGGACACUGCUUAUGACUGCUGUAUGCAACAGUUUUUCAGGCCCGAGAGGAACCCAGACAUGCUCUAUUUGCAAACCGACUGCAUGAAACAAAAAGCACGGUAAUUCUGAAGCUGUUGGCUUGGAUGAAAUGAGAAUGUAAUUAAAAAGAAAAAGGUUAGCAAAAGAACAUGCUGGGAAUUGAAAAUAAAAAUCUGAAAUGAUGUCCCAGCCUGCCCUUAAGGUCUUUUCCACCAUGUAGAGAGCUACCUCAAAUGCUCUACUUGUCCCAGAGUCUAUGUUCUUUCACUACUAUU
rnacentral:lncRNA from 1 species